AGGAGCUACCAUGCAGUCGAGCGGUAGCACAGAGAGCUUGCUCUCGGGUGACGAGCGGCGGACGGGUGAGUAAUGUCUGGGAAACUGCCUGAUGGAGGGGGAUAACUACUGGAAACGGUAGCUAAUACCGCAUAACGUCGCAAGACCAAAGUGGGGGACCUUCGGGCCUCAUGCCAUCAGAUGUGCCCAGAUGGGAUUAGCUGGUAGGUGGGGUAACGGCUCACCUAGGCGACGAUCCCUAGCUGGUCUGAGAGGAUGACCAGCCACACUGGAACUGAGACACGGUCCAGACUCCUACGGGAGGCAGCAGUGGGGAAUAUUGCACAAUGGGCGCAAGCCUGAUGCAGCCAUGCCGCGUGUGUGAAGAAGGCCUUCGGGUUGUAAAGCACUUUCAGCGGGGAGGAAGGCGGUGAGGUUAAUAACCUCAUCGAUUGACGUUACCCGCAGAAGAAGCACCGGCUAACUCCGUGCCAGCAGCCGCGGUAAUACGGAGGGUGCAAGCGUUAAUCGGAAUUACUGGGCGUAAAGCGCACGCAGGCGGUCUGUCAAGUCGGAUGUGAAAUCCCCGGGCUCAACCUGGGAACUGCAUUCGAAACUGGCAGGCUAGAGUCUUGUAGAGGGGGGUAGAAUUCCAGGUGUAGCGGUGAAAUGCGUAGAGAUCUGGAGGAAUACCGGUGGCGAAGGCGGCCCCCUGGACAAAGACUGACGCUCAGGUGCGAAAGCGUGGGGAGCAAACAGGAUUAGAUACCCUGGUAGUCCACGCUGUAAACGAUGUCGAUUUGGAGGUUGUGCCCUUGAGGCGUGGCUUCCGGAGCUAACGCGUUAAAUCGACCGCCUGGGGAGUACGGCCGCAAGGUUAAAACUCAAAUGAAUUGACGGGGGCCCGCACAAGCGGUGGAGCAUGUGGUUUAAUUCGAUGCAACGCGAAGAACCUUACCUGGUCUUGACAUCCACAGAACUUUCCAGAGAUGGAUUGGUGCCUUCGGGAACUGUGAGACAGGUGCUGCAUGGCUGUCGUCAGCUCGUGUUGUGAAAUGUUGGGUUAAGUCCCGCAACGAGCGCAACCCUUAUCCUUUGUUGCCAGCGGUUAGGCCGGGAACUCAAAGGAGACUGCCAGUGAUAAACUGGAGGAAGGUGGGGAUGACGUCAAGUCAUCAUGGCCCUUACGACCAGGGCUACACACGUGCUACAAUGGCAUAUACAAAGAGAAGCGACCUCGCGAGAGCAAGCGGACCUCAUAAAGUAUGUCGUAGUCCGGAUUGGAGUCUGCAACUCGACUCCAUGAAGUCGGAAUCGCUAGUAAUCGUAGAUCAGAAUGCUACGGUGAAUACGUUCCCGGGCCUUGUACACACCGCCCGUCACACCAUGGGAGUGGGUUGCAAAAGAAGUAGGUAGCUUAACCUUCGGGAGGGCGCUACCACUUGGUUACG
rnacentral:rRNA from 1 species